UACGGGGGGGGCAAGCGUUGUUCGGAAUUACUGGGCGUAAAGGGCUCGUAGGCGGCCAACUAAGUCGGAUGUGAAAUCCCCAGGCUUAACCUGGGAACUGCAUCCGAUACUGGAUGGCUUGAAUCCGGGAGAGGGAUGCAGAAUUCCAGGCGUAGCGGUGAAAUGCGUAGAUAUCUGGAGGAAUACCGGUGGCGAAGGCGGCAUCCUGGACCGGCAUUGACGCUGAUGAGCGAAAGCUAGGGGAGCAAACGGG
rnacentral:rRNA from 1 species